rnacentral:antisense_RNA from 1 species
CUUCACCGAACCCAGCCACAACGGCCGAUCCUCAGAGCGGUCCCGACCGUAAGUGGCAAGCAGCGCCUGCGCCUC